AAGGACGCCUUCGAUAGCACUAGC
rnacentral:piRNA from 1 species